rnacentral:lncRNA from 1 species
CCAGAUAUAGUAGUUAUGUUUUGAAUUCCAAUUCUUAUCUUUAUAUAGUUCCGGACUUAACGUAGUUCUAACAAUUCCUUUUUUCGCUCGCCAAGUCCUAUGUUCGGGAACUCAAUCAAAUAUGUUAUGAUGGGCGUCGACUUGCCUAGUGUCUUGUCGUCUUGUCCGCUUGGCUGCCCUAACUAACAAACUAAACAUAUAUUAGGGUCGGGUUCCGAUGUGCUCUUUAAUAACAUACAUGUAUUUUGAUCCUUUAAUAACAUACA